UGAGCAAAAGAGAGUUAAGUGAGAUUAAUCUUGCCAGAAAAGAGAGUGGUAUUUAAAGUAAUCAUUAAUAGAAGUAUUAAAAUUCGGUAUAGUAACUUUUAAGCUUUACCUUAUUCACGUCGAGGUAAACCUAGGAGAACGUGGGCAUAAGAGGUUCUGAGCAUAUUCAACAUGUUCGACCGCACAAGGCCCCGAAAAUUUUGAGAUCUAAAUAUUAAAUUAUAUAGAAUAUUUGUUAUGUGUUCAAAGAUACAAAAUUGUUAGAAAAAUAUCAUAAUUUUUAAAAUUGGAUAGGGCCUUCAUAAAAUUUUUCAAUUUUUACUCCGCCCCUGAACGUGGGAAGAACAAAUUAAAAGUAACUUGAACGAACUACACCUCUCUAUGGAUCUAACUAGGGAUAGGAUUAGUUAGCGGCGCCUUAUUUACGUCUUAGAUUACUGAAUAUGUCCAUCUUACCCGUCGUUAGUAUAAUUUCUUACCUUUAUAUAUAGCUCUUUUACUCAUUUUUAUCUUACUACCUCCUUUUACUUUUAUUUUUAUUUUUAUUUUUAUUUUUAUUUUAUUUAACAAUUAAGUUCAAAGGCGUCUCGCUGGGGGAGUAUAGAGGAAAUACUGGACAUGACUCUAAGUCUAAUGACAAGAUUGCUGGGAAGAAAAAAUUAGCUUAUGUGAAGAACAACUAGUUUUUGGCUCUCUGGACAGAUCAGUAGAUGGGCAGCCCUCUGGCUCUUCUCUGAUUUUCUCAUCAGCGCUGAAAGGAAUAAGGUCGCUCUGACUUUUCAAAGCGCAUACAUAUCAGCUUGCUUUUACUUGGAUACUCGUCAAUUCCACGCAUUUGUCAUAUUUGGGAGCCUUAAGACAAUCCCUCAAAAGCCCACAAAGAAUGCCGUAUUAAACAGAAUGUUUCUGUUUUGGCACGUUGUAGCUCGCUCGAUCGAGCAAGCAUGCUCGAGUGGUCGAGCACCUAGUCAGUGUCCACUGGAUUGUAGCUGUUCCUUAGCUCGACCGAGCCAUUUUGCUCCACUAGUCGAGCCGACCCCUUUUGGCACUCCUUUGCUAACAUCAAGCCACGCCAAGCCAUCUACCUUGGUCAUUCAUCAAGUGAUCCAAAACGUAUUGCGCCAUGUUUCAAUUCAUACUCAUCAUCAUUCUCAAUAGUGCAAGCCAUUGAGUAAGCAACGAGGUGAUCGAACUUACCUCCAUCAAAGUGAGAUUUGGAGCUUGACACAACAAAUAUAUUUGGAUGACUUGUGAUAUUUUUUCCAUAAAUACGUUGUUUUAUCUAAAUAUUAAUGAGUAUUUUUUGAACGAAGUAAUAUUUUUCAGAAGUUAGGAUUCUAGGUCAUUUCAUUAUGAAAGUCCUUGCCUCAUUGGUAUGAAUAAAGGAAAAUCCAUUCUAUUUAGCCUAAAUGUCUCACUUAAUUCAGCACAUUUACCAAUGUACUAUUUAGCCUAAAAGUCAAACAAUACACUUAUCUCAAAAAACAAAAAGUCAAAUAAUACACUUAUCUCAAAAAAAAAAAGUCAAAUAAUACACUUAAGCUGAGUAGGAGAUAACACACAUUUAUCAAGUAUUAGGCUCUCUCAUAAACCCUUAUGAACUUCUAAGACCCCUUAUAUAGUCCCAUGUCAUAUUUGGGAGCCUUAAGACAAUCUAGGGCUGCACACGGUCCGGUCUGGUCUGGUCUGGUUUGACAGAAAAAUCAGACCAGACCAGAAAUUCCGGUCUGGAAAUUUUUCAGACCAGAGCAGACCAGUCAAGAGACCAGACCAGACCGUUCUAGAACGGUCUGGUCUACGGUUUUUUUUUUUUAUUUUUUUUAUUGAGUGAGAAUUUAAGAUAAACAAGAAUCAAGCCAUGUUUUAUAAUCUUUCCUUGUUUGAUAAUUACAAGUCCUUAACUAACAAAAAUCAUUAUAUUGUCAUACUAAAUGCAAAUAAAGUUACAGUGAAUCUCAUGGGAGAUAUUAGAAUACACAAAGGAUAUUCUAUUGAAAGAUGUCUUGUAUACCAUGCUUUAAGUAUACUCUGAUUUCAAUUAACAAACUAAUCAAAGACAUAUACUGUGAAGUUGUCUUCACUACUGAUAAGUAUGUUCUGCAGGGCAAUUUGAAGAAGAUUCCUUUGCUUCUUGGUAAUCAUCAAAACGAUAUCCAGUAAACAAAAGAAUAGAAGAUAUCCAGUAAUUCAUAAACCACUUCAAAGCAAUGCAAACUUUAUCAGUUGUGGUCAUCAAAAAAUUACACUUACCCAAUAUAUAAAGACUCAAGAUUCAACCAGAUAAUCAUCAAAAUUAUAAUUAACAAUAAAAAAUUAGUUAUGUCGAAGAAGAAAUGGAGGAUGAAACAAAAACCCUAAAAAUCAAAAACUGAUAAAAAAAUCCUAAAAAUCAAAAAAAUCAACCAAUAUACUUACAUUACGAGAUUCUACACUUGAUUCCGUGGUGAAUGGUGAGAUUGGAGAAUGAAGAUUGGAGUAGGAGCGUCGAAGCCUCGAACUAGAACCACAGAAGCAGAGGCGUCUUUAAAGGAGGUCGUUUGUCGAUGGGUUGAAGCUUGACGAGUUGAAAGAAGCGAGGUGAGGCGACAGGAAGGAAAUGUUUGCCCUAAUCAAUGGCGUCUCAGACCUGGGCUGCUGGGGCCUGGGCAGGAUGCGAGGAAGAAGAGAGGAGAAUGGGAGAAAGAAGCAGCUUUGCCUUUUGCGUUUUCUAAUUUACGGCAGUAGGAAGGAAAUGUUUGCCCUAAAUCCUAAUCCCUAAUAUUAGAGUUUAUUACGGUUUAUUGGUCCGGUUUGGUCUACAAAUUUAAAAACCGGGACCAGACCGUAAACCGUUUAAAAGAAAAAAAAAAACCGGACCAGACCAUUCAGACCGUAGACCAGACCAAAUACUUAAAUUACGGUUUGGUCCGGUUUGGUUUACAGUUUAGACCAAACCCUGUUCAGCCCUAAGACAAUCCCUCAAAAGCCCACAAAGAAUGUCGUAUUAAACAAAAUGUUUCUGUUUUGGCACGUUGUAGCUCGCUCGAUCGAGCAAGCAUGCUCGAGUGGUCGAGCGCCUAAUCAAUGUCCACUGGAUUGUAGCUGUUCCUUGGCUCGAACGAGCCAUUGUGCUCCACUAGUCGAACCAGCCCCUUUUGGCACUCCUUUGCUAACAUCAAGCCACGCCAAACCAUCCACCUUGGUCAUUUCAUCAAGAGAUCCAAAACGUAUUACGCCAUGCUUCAGUUCAUACUCAUCAUCAUUCUCAAUAGUGCAAGUCAUUGAGUAAGCAACGAGGUGAUCGAACUUACCUCCAUCAAAGUGAGAUUUAGAGCUUGACACAACAAAUAUAUUUGGUUGACUUGUGAUAUUUUUUCCAUAAAUACGUUGUUUUAUCUAAAUAUUAAUGAGUAUUUUUUGAACAAAGUACAUAUUGUUCAGGAGUUAGGAUUUUAGGUCAUUUCAUUUGAAAGUCAUUGCCUCAUUGCUAUGAGUAAAGGAAAAUCCCUCCUAUUUAGCCUAAAUGUCCCACUUAAUUCGGCAGAUUUACCAAUGUACUAUUUCUAUCAUUAAUUUUUUUUAAGUGUGCAUGACUAAAAAUUAUAAUAUGUUGAUAUUUAUAAUCUUUCAAGAUGAAUCAAACAGGAUCUUAUAUGACUAUAUUAUAACUUAUAAAUUAAGAAUACAAUACAAUUUAAUAGUGUCAAAAGUCAAAUAAUACACUUAUCUCAGAAAAAAAAAAUCAGAUUAUACACUUAAGUUGAGUAGGAGGUAACACACAUUUUGAACAAGUGAUUAUACGUUGAAGAACAAGUUAAUAUUAAACCAUAGUAACCUUAUAUCUUUCCCUAAUUGCUUGUUGAACUUUUUUAGCUUAUGUCUAUUUACAUCCUCAAUUCUCUUUCUCAAAGUGUGCCAUGAAUGUGGGUUGCAAGUAAAAAGAAACAAUAAAGUCGGCUUUGGAUCCAUGCUGCAAGCAAGGUCCCAGAUGAGUCCACCGUAAAAGCCAUGGAGAAUUUCUACAGGGAGAUAUAUGCGUUGGAUGGUGUGACUGAUCUUAAAUUUCCCGAGCAUUAUCCAGUUUCAAAACUUAUUGGUUGUAUAGAAGUUGUUGGGUGUCUUAGAUGUGACGAGCUAUCUAGUUGGAAAGCAGUACCCGAAGGGGUAAGGCUAGAAGCAUUGACGGAAUUCUGUUGGCUUAGUGAACAACCACAGAAACUGUUACAUCCUCUGAAGAUGCGCGGUGAUCAGGGUAUUUAUGACCUGGAAAGAAAGAUAGCUGAGGCUGCGGUUCGAGGUCUUUCUCCAGUUGAAAAUCCACAUUUAAUAAAAUUCCCGCUCUCAGAUACUGUUGAUUAUUUAAGGCCGGGGUGCGUGCCUUUGUAUCAAUUGGAAAAGAAAGCUGUUGGACCCAAGAAGCCACCGAGUUUGAUUGCUGCCAUAGAUGGUGCAAUCGUUGCAUCAACACAGUAUUCAAGGAAAGUUCAUAACACCCAAAAAGACACUUUGCAGGACAAUAAUGGGGUCAAGAAGGAUUUCUCAGCUGAGUUAAGAGGCAUCAAUUCGGAAGAAGAUAAACGAAAAAAUGGUGUUCGAACUGAAAACGAUUUAACAAUUAAGUUAAAAGGCGUCUCGCUAGGGGAGUAUAGAGGAAAUACUAUUAGAGAAUUAAUCUAGAAAUUCUUAAGAUAACCAAAAAAAUAAAUAUACAAAAUAUCUAUGUAAAAUAUCUAAGCUAGAAACAUCUAGGAUAUAUAUCUAGAAAUAUGUAUAAAAAAAUCUAGUUAAGAAUAUCUUAGGAAAAAUCUAGAUUAAUAAUUUUUCUAGAAUAGAGUACCUAACUAGAAGAAUAGCUAACAUAACCUACUAUAAAUAGGAGCAUAUACUUGCAUGUAACAACUUAAGCAUUACAAUAAAUCCAUUGCAUCAUUAUUGACUCCAUCUCAAAAUACAAAUUCAUCAAUUACAAUUCCACUACAAACCCACCACAUACCUACUCCUUAAAUUUCUAACAAUUGGUAUCAAGAGCCAAUUUAAUCCAAAGCCUCCACUUUUUAUCAUCCAUCUUCUAACCGUCAUAUCAACAUUAUAUUAACUCCACAAAAAAAAAUAUAUAAUGGCCUCCUCUACAAACUCAAACACAAACAUAAACAUUUUUAAUUCCCAAGUUAAUUGGAUACCUAUAUUUAAAGGGGAGAAAUUUGAUCAAUGGAGUAUGCAAAUGAAAUCUAUCUUCAUCACCCAAGAUAUUUAGGAAAUUAUUGAAGAUGGCUAAGAGAAACCCAAAGAUGCCAAUGAAGAGGCUUCUUUGGAUGCCUUAAAGAGAGGACAAUAUAAACAAAACAUAAGAAGGAUCAUUAUGCCCUUUCCAUAAUUUAUCGUGGGAUAGAUAAAACAAUACUACCUACGAUAAUGGCCUCUACAACAGCGAAGGAGGCGUGGAGUAUCCUGGAGAUAAAAUAUAGAGGCUCGGAAAAGAUUUCUCAUCAGCGCUGAAAAGAAUAAGGCCACUCUGACUUUCCAAAGCGCCCACAUAUGAGCUUGCUUUUACUUGGAUACUCCUCAAUUCCACACAUUUUUCAACACUUUACUUAAGAGCUUUGAUAUGGUUUAACAAAAUGUCGCAAAAUGGAUGAGACAUAGGAGUUAAAACGCACGAGCAGUGGGCCGUGGUUUACCGAAUGUUAUCGUAAUGUAUAGUUGUAUAUAGUUAGAGUUUUAUUAUGUGCAGUUUUUUGGAUAAAGAUCAUUAUAUGUUUGCUUCACUUUCCAGGUUAUUUCCUGGAAGAAAAUAAUACAUGUUGCACUAGUUAUUUCGCUGUUUUAGAGAGCAAUUAUCUUCUGACUUAUUAUGCAGAUUAUAUGUAACGCAUCCUUGGGGUUAAAUGGGAUGUCCCUGGUUCGGUAUUCGAACCAAAUCUUCGGAUGACCCUCGAGGCCUGAAACGCUCCACCACGCCACCCUCCGAUCAGUUGGACUGGUGUAUCGUGCUAAAACCAUAUUAUUGUAUAUACUCUUGAUUUGAUUAUCUACGUAAGUCUCGGGCUUGUUGAUCCAAUUAUGCAUGGUGGAUGAAGCAAUUACGCACGAAUUGGAUUUGAUACACAAAACAAAGGGGAUAUUCCAUGAACUGGCACUUAGAAAUGAAUGUUGAGAAGUGGACUACCAGGCUUCCUAUUCACUCAAUUCUACGCUUCACCCUUUGCACUCCAAAAGGAUUAUCAGUUUCUAUGGAUGGGGUGAUAUUGGUUCUUGAAGACACUUAAGAACACGUACACCAAAGAUGGGCAAAAGUGGCCAAGGUAACCCAAUUGCACAGCAAUUGAAAAGAAAAACACACUUAGUGAAUUUUCUGAUUUUUAUUAACAAAACUUCGAUGUUUACAAGGCUAAGGCCAUCUAUAUAUAGGCAUAUGGGACGAAGGAAAUACAAUGAGAAGGUUAAUGACACGUCUAACUAACAAUAACGGUCAUAAGGGAGCACGUGCACAACAUGUGCUUCAUUAAAAACAUAAAAACAAGCUAAGUAUAAUCCUGACAAAAGGCUGCUGACAAAACAGCAAGAAGACCAAAGCCUCCAUAUUAUUAUAUAACGCCUCCAAAACCGGGGCCCCCUAUGUACCCGUACAAUAGACCGGGCCGUCAUCCGGCACCUCCUCAUUGAAUGUUAUGUUGUAUUGAGUAUCUUAGCAAGCAAUUCUUUUAUGAUUACAUAUGGUUCGAGUUGAUCUGAUUUGACACUAAAAUAAAAGCAGAGAAAAAAUACAAGCUAUGCUAUUUGUGAGGGUUGUUUGUAUAUGGUGAAGAUCAAGAAUAAAUGGUUAUUAGAUUUCGUUAAUUAUUAUUUGAGUUUUAUUGUACUUAAGUUAGUCAACAUGUCUAUCUUUACUUUAUGAAUGUGCUCCACUAACACAAAUCUUUGUGAGAGGUGGUCUCUUUGAGAGACCAUCUCUAAUAUAAUUAGUCUAUUAUCAUUUUUUAGUUUAAUUAAGUUUUAAUGGGUUGGGCAUGUGAGACGUUUCUCAAAGAGACGAUCUCCCAAGAGACCGGCUGUUCCACUAAUAUAUUAUUAGUGAUUAGUUUGCUUGUUACUUCAUAAUCAACUAGUGUUAAUGUAAUGUAAGAUAAUCUCAUUCACAAAUUUAUACUCGAUCUUUCCAUCUCAACCACUCGUUUCCAUAAUUCACUUGGUUAAGUUAAUUUCUUGACAUGGUAUUAGAUGUACAUGUCAUAGGUUCGAAUCUCGUCCACUUUUUAAUUCAAGUGGAAUAAUAUUAAGCGUUAGGUAAGUGGAGGACAUGUAUGAGGAGACGUGAUAGAGUAUACUAGCAUAUCAUGAGGUGACACCUAUCAACUAAGCGUUUUUAACGACACUUAUGAUCGAUAAUCAUCUCUUAAUUUCUUUGUGU